rnacentral:rRNA from 1 species
GUGGGGAAUUUUGGACAAUGGGCGCAAGCCUGAUCCAGCCAUGCCGCGUGUCUGAAGAAGGCCUUCGGGUUGUAAAGGACUUUUGUUCGGGAGCAAAACCUAGUGGUUAAUACCUGCUGGGGAUGAGAGUACCGGAAGAAUAAGCACCGGCUAACUACGUGCCAGCAGCCGCGGUAAUACGUAGGGUGCAAGCGUUAAUCGGAAUUACUGGGCGUAAAGCGUGCGCAGGCGGUUGUGCAAGUCUGAUGUGAAAGCCCCGGGCUUAACCUGGGAACGGCAUUGGAGACUGCACGACUAGAGUGCGUCAGAGGGGGGUAGAAUUCCGCGUGUAGCAGUGAAAUGCGUAGAGAUGCGGAGGAAUACCGAUGGCGAAGGCAGCCCCCUGGGAUGACACUGACGCUCAUGCACGAAAGCGUGGGGAGCAAACAGG